rnacentral:rRNA from 1 species
GAGCACGUAGGUGGGUUUGUAAGUCAGAUGUGAAAGCCUUCUGUUCAACGGAAGAAUUGCAUCUGAAACUGCCAAUCUUGAGUGUAGGAGGGGAGAAUGGAACUUCUGGUGGAGCGGUGAAAUGCGUAGAUAUCAGAAGGAACGCCGGCGGCGAAAGCGAUUCUCUGGCCUAUUACUGACACUCAGUGUGCGAAAGCUAGGGGAGCAAACGGGAUUAGAUACCCCGGUAGUCCUAGCCGUAAACGAUGGGCACUAAGUAGAGGGGUUUU